UAGUUUUAAUAUAAUAUGCUAAGGGCCUGUUUCACCACUUACUUAUAAGCGCCGGAUAUGCUAUCCACAACUUGUCUGCAAGAUAGAGUAUAGAGUAUCUGUCAGAUAAGUUGUGGAUAGCCUAUC